GUUCAUUUUCUUCUCCAUGCACAGUCAAUCAAUCCUCGUUGAUUUUCAACCCUAUCUUUUCUUUUGGUUCUCUCCAUCUCCAAGUUUCGGUUAUGGCAUCGAAACCCAUCGUCAACGAGCUCAAGGAUUUGCAGAAGGAUCCUCCUACGCGCUGCAGUGCAGUGCCAUUACUGCAACCAAAAAUCACACGGCCAAUUCAUGCUAAAAGCCUAUUCAUUCUUUGCCAAUUGAUGAAACAUAAUGGAGGGGCCACACUUGUUAAGAAGCACACGGCUGUCCAAAUAAAUAUGGGUCCAUGAUUUUGAAGGAAGAAAUACUACACAUGGUUAUCCAAUGGAAAGCCACUGCCAUUUACUUUUGUUGGGAGAAACAUAUGCUAAUUUAUUGGGUGGCCUUGGUGACUCAUUUUCACAUGUAAACCAAUUCGGCAAUAUGGGAGGCUUAUUUCUCUUAGUGGGAGACAACAUAAAAGAAGGAAGGGCCACCACCAUUGAAGGAGAGACCAGAACCACACGACCAAAGUCACAUUUCAUAUUAUAUUCAAAUGUAAGAUAUGCUGAAUUAUGGGCUGUAACUGUCACGGGAGAAUUCUCUUGGAGAUUUACGGACCAGCAAUGAAGCUUUGAGAAGCUCACGGCCAGCCAAGGUGCAGUAGCGCUUCAUUCAUGCACCCAGUAAAGAAGAGAUCUUUGUCCAGCAGCUGUAGCCUUCACAAUAGAGAACGUGCAGCAGCCACACUUGGCUCGUCCAACAGCAGCAUCACGUAGGUAGCGUUCCAGAGCUGGAAGCGUGAUAACCAAAGUCCAGCAUGAAGGAUUGUCAGCAAGAAAUGAAGAGCCACAUACAUGUAGAUGCAUUGUCCAGCCAGUAGCAGUGGUCUUCACGGAAGCAGACCAGCAGCAAAAAGGUGGUGAUGACUGGAAUGUUCAGAGAAUGGAUGUGCACGUGAUGGACAACAUGGAAGUGAGAAAGGGUUCCCCAUCUGCAGAGAAGUUGGCAACAAAUAUGGAGGUGGAUGAAGAAGCCACAAUCACGGCCUGCACAAUCAAGCAGCUUGGGCAGCAGCAUUUUGGAGGGGACCACAUUGAAUCAAAAGAAGGUCACGGUUUUUACUGGAAACUCACGGGUUUGGGAGGCCAGCAAUUCACGUUCAGAAUUCUGGCUAUAAAAUGGAAUGGGCAGCAAAGGAGAAAUGCAUUAGAUUUUAGGAGUAGGAAUUAGGAAGCAAUUUACAUUCUGGCUUUGGUUUUCUCCUCCCCUUUGGGGAGGUUGUGUUUCUUUAAUUUCCAGUUUCAAGUUGAAUGUUAAUCAUAAUUUUCAUUCUGCAUUUCUCAA